rnacentral:lncRNA from 1 species
AGAAGUGCCACAUUGACUGGCACCCUCCUCCCAUACUGUGCCUCACAGCUGGCAGGAGCUGUUUCCAAGUCUCGCUGUGGUGAAGGUCAUUAAGGGACCUUCUAAGAGAUUUUCCAUGCUGAGAAAGACAUCACAAGAGACAAGGGGCAAGGCUUAUUUGUUAAAAGAAGGUUGACUAAGGAAACCUGGCGGAAAGAUAAUAGUUUGACAGAAGUAGCAAGAAGGGAGGGGGAGGGCUGGGGAUUUAGCUCAGGGGUUCCAGCUGCCUGCCCGGUAAGUGAGGACCCGCGUUGAGUUCGAUCCCUGGUACCAAAAAAAAAAAAAAAAGAAGAGAGGGAGAAUAAGUGAUGGGGAGUGCUGGAGUUACCUGCAAAAGAAGAGCAAGGCUUGAGAAUGGAUGUCUGGAGACCAACGAUUCUGUUUCUGUAAAGGCUCUGGCUCAUGCUUGUGAAUUCCAGUUUAUCCUCACUCUACUUUGCAACUGCCUGCCCUUGGACUUCAAGCACCAGCAUUAGAUGUGAAGACAACAGCCUUCUAGAAACUGCUUAACCAGCUGUCUUUGUUUUGUAUGGUGAUGCAGGACUGUAAAAAUGACUGUGAUCUUGCUAAAUUGCCCAGGCUGGCCUUGAAUUUGGGAUCCUGCUGCUUCAGUUUCCAGAGUAACUGGGAUUCAGGGAUUGAACUCGGGACCUUGCGCUUGCAAGGCAGGCACCGGAACCACUGAGCUAAAUCCUUGGCCCCAGACAACAAUUCUGACAGUGGAGCUGCCAAGUGAUUGAAGAGGGGAAAGCAAGUUGCUCCAGAACCUGGGAAGAAGCAAAAGGCUGGUGGGACUUUGAGAGCUCCGUUGUCUCCUGGGCACAGCAGGAGCAGCAGCAGUGAAAACAACAUGUUCCUGAGUGGGGAAGCAAGGUACUUCAUGCACAGGGUUUGUAAGGAAGGAGAUAACUGUCGUUACUCGCAGGACACCUCUCGGACAAUCCCUACGGUAUACUAUGCAAUUAUUUCCAGCAAGAGUACUGCGUGUAUGGAGAUGGCUACACAUAUGAGCACCGCAAGCCAUUGAAACAGGAAGAAGCAGUAGCUAUAGAUCUAACUGCAAAAGCACCCCUUGCCGCUGCCUCGAGUUCCUCCUCCGUCGCUGAAGCUCUCAGGGAGAUGAAUACAGGCGAGGCUGAGUCCAGAAAUGCAAAUUCCCCGCCCUAGGUACAGUACAGGGUCAGAGGACUGGGUGAAUGCCAUUGAGUUCUGCCCAGCCAGCCCUACUGUGACCACGCCGCCCCUGCCUGCACAAAGGUCCUGGUGCAGGGAUCAGUGCCCAAGGCAGAGUCUGAGGAGCUGGCUACGUGGAGACCGAGAAGCAGCUCUGCCCCUAAGCGCUGUGGGAGAACUGCGUGUGGUGACACCUGGGACAUGUGCGGGCUGCAGGUCCAGCUCCUGGUGGAUACAGUCCAGAGGUCCCAGCAAAUAAAAUCUUGCAUCGAGGCCCAUGAGAAGGACAUGGAGCUGUCCUUUUCGGUGCAGUGCAGCAAGGACAUGGUGUGUGGCAUCUGCAUGGGGUACGAGAAAGCCAACCCCAGUGAGCGCCGCUUCGGCAUCCUCUCCAGCUGAGACCAUACCUGGUGUCUCAAGUGUAUUCGAAAGUGGAGGAGUGCUAAGCAUUUUGAGAACAAGAUCAUAAAGUUCUGGGCUGAAUGCCAGAUCACAUCUACAUUUGUCAUUCCAAGUGAGUGCUGGGUGGAGGAGAAAGAGAAGCAGAAACUCAUUCAGAAAUACAAGGAGGCAAUGAGCAAAGGCAUGCAGGUAUUUUGAUGAAGGCCAUGGGAGCUGCCCAUUUGGAGGAAACUGUUACUAAAUUUUUUUUUUUGGUAUAGGGGAUUGAACUUGGGACCUUGCACUUGCAAAGCAGGUGCCGGAACCACUGAGCUAAUUCCCCAGCCCUUGGAGGAAACUGUUUUUACAAGCAUGGGAACCCUGAUGACUUAAAGAGGAGCCACAGAGACAGAAAGUGGGAACAUCAAGCAGAUACUGGGUCCAACAGAGGAACCACUUCUGGGAGCUCACUGAGGAAAGAGAGAACAGAAGCCCCUUUGACAAUGAUGAAGAAGAGGCUGUCACCUUUGAGCUGGAUAAGAUGUUGCUUAUGCUUUUGGCUGCAAGUGGGGGCAAUGAACUGACUGACACUGACAACGAGUGGGACUUGUUUCACGAUAAGUUGGAAGACUUUUGUGACUUGGACCUCUACCGGCUUUGCAUGGCCUGGGAUCGGCCUACCGAGCCUCAAACAGUAGAUGUCCCCUGUGCCGUAUGGCAGUGAGUUGCUCUCCUACUCAGGCCUCAACUCCAGGUGCUGUCGUGACCACUUACCGGGUCCUACCCCACCCCACUUCCCCAAGACUGUGUCAUUUUCUUGGUUGCAAAAAGUUACAAAAACAAAUCUUCAAGUUAGAAAAAAAAAAGAACCAGUAUAGCUGAACAUGGUGGCACACACUUGUAGCAAGAUCCUGUCACAAAGUAAAAUGGGCUGGGGAAGUAGGUCAGUGAUAGAAAGUCUCCUGGGUCCCAUCCCCAGAAAUGGGGGGAAAACAUCAGAGUGGUACAUUGGCUUCUACUGAAGACAUUGAAUAUUAGAUCACUAUGAAGUUUUGAAUUUAAAACUUAUGGGGGAACAUGAUGUUUAUAUUUAUCCUAAAUAACUAUGUAAAGGUAGUAUAGAGACAUGCAAGUGCUCUGAUGUUUUACUUCCCCAGCACUCAGUCCUAGGACACUCCUGGAGGAUACAUUUUAGCAAAAUGAGGAUGCGUGAUAUGAAAGGAAAAGCUCUGCACCAUGGAAACUGGAGAAACCCAGAGGAGCAAUGAGGACAGGCCCAGCAAGACCCAUGGCAUAGGGUUGUACAAGAAAGAAAACAGAGUAAUGGAAGUCACCAUAAUACCUAAAAUUGAUGAACUAUGACAUAGUAGCAUGUGCAUACUAUUUAGAAAAGUGGAAGAAAACAAGAAAAAAACAUUUCAGAGAGUUGAAAUUGGUUGGUCCUGGAGGAUGGGUAAAGGACAGUUGUGUUUUGUCAUGAAUCUGUGGCCUUUUUGUUUUUAUCUAUGUACAUUACUUGAUAAAAAUGGGAACACUUAUGUACUGCUGAUCCAAAUGUAAGAUGGUGCAGCCAUUAACCUUAGAAAGUUAAACACAGUUACACUAUGUCAGGGUUUGGAGGUGCUAUGUUGCUAUGUCCUCCAGGGCUCAGGGGCUUGGUCUCUACUGCAGCAAUAUUCAGAGAGGGUACUUUUUGGAACCAGAUGGAUCAUGAGGACUCUAACUUCAUCAAUGGAUAAAUCCAUUAAUGAAUUCAUAGCUCAAUGAGCUUAUUAGGAAGUGGAGUCUAGUUGGAAGAAGCAAGUCACUGGGGGUAUGGCUUUGAAGGGUGUAUUUUGUUCCCAGCCCCUUCCUCUCCAGCUCACUCUGCUUACUGACUGCCUUGAUGUGAGCAGCUUUAUUCUGCCAUGCCCUUGUGCCAUUCCUUGUGCUACGGAAUACAGAAUACAGCAAUGGAAGCAGAUACCAUAGACUGACACUUCCGAAACUGUGAGUCAAAAUUAACAUUCUUCCUUUAAGCUGAUUUUCUCAGGUAUUAUAUAACAGUGACAAGAAAGUUAAUACAGCAUACAACCCUGCAAUUUCAUUCCUAGCUAUAUAGCCAAGACAGGUGUUUGCAGGAAUAGUUCUGUAGCAUUCAUAAUAACCAAAAAUGCAAACAAUACAAAUGUUCAUCAGUUGAUGAACAGAGAAAUAAAAUGUGGUAUGUACAUCCAUACAAUGGAAGACUAUUCUGUAAAAAGGAAGGAAAUACUGAUACAUAUUACAACAUGGUGAAACACAAAAGGCCGCAUAUUAUAUAAUUCCAUUAAUGUCAAGUGUUCAGAAUAGGCAACUCUAUAUACACAAAGUUAAUUGAGUAGAUUAGAGAUGUAGCUCAGUGACAGAGUGUGUGCUUAGAAUGGACAAGGGCCUGGAUCUGAGCACUGCUAAAAAGAGUUUAUUGGUUAGCUAAGGGUAGGGGGAGGAAGAGAUGAGGAGUAACUGCUAAGGAGUAUGGGAGUUCUUUUUUGGGGUAAUGAAAGUGUUCUUAGGGCCAGGGAUUUAGCUCAGUGUUUCCAUCACCUGCCUUGUAAGCACAAGGUUCCGAGUUUGAUCCCCAGUACCCCCAAAAAAGUGUUCAUGUGAUGUUUGCACAACAUUGUGAAUAUAUUUUAAAACUACUAAACUGCACACUUUAAAAAAGGC